GUUCAUUCAAGGAAACAUUGGAUAAAAUUGGAAAGAUAUAGAAAAGAUUACCAUAGUUCUUGCUUAAAGAUGGCACACACAAGUCGAGAAUCAGUUCAAAACACGU